GGCUUGGUGGUGUAGUGGUAGCACAACUGCUCAAAUUAAUCUUGAUGUAAUCGGAUAGCAGAGUGUCCCCCGUUCGAACCGGGGUCAGGCCA